rnacentral:lncRNA from 1 species
CCGGCCCUGGAUAAUUAGAUAAUCCACAGGACAAUGAAACGAAGUGAUUUGCCCAGUAUCCCACAUGCAGUGAGUAAUAAAUAACCCCAGGAUUCUAAGCCAGGUCAUUCAUUUGUUCUCCAUUUACAAAUACCCUCUUUCAUUGAUUCUAGGAUGCACUUUUUAUUUACAUUUUAACAUCUCAAAAACCAGUAUGAUGUGUUUAGUGGUUACUGUUUGUGCUUCUUAAGAGUAAAAAAUAUAAAAUUAUGUUUCUUAACAGCAGUGCUAUCUUAGAUUAGGUAGAGUACUGUAUUUAAUGAGGGUUUACCAUACUCCAGGAGCUGUGCUGGGCACUAGAAAUAAAGCUGUGAUUGGCACAGUCUUCUUUCCCACUCCUGUCGAGUUUCCAGUGUUUCCCCUGCAUCAUUAUACCAACCAGACCUAGCCUGUUGUAAAUUGCUUUCUAUUGUGUCCCAUGUGUUGGAAACAAUAGUCUUAACAAGAUUACAAGCCCAUUGCAGCACUGCAUCUAGCCGAAUUGCCUUCCCUGUAUGUAACCCGUGAUAACUUUCCUGUGUAUUUUUUUUUCUAUUUUAUUAUUAUUAUACUUUAAGUUUUAGGGUACAUGUGCACAAUGUGCAGGUUAGUUACAUAUGUAUACCUGUGCCAUGCUGGUGUGCGACACCCAUUAACUCGUC